GCUUUUCGCUGGUUCAAUUGUCUCUUGAUACGCGAGAUCCCUUUCCAUCUUGUUACCCGAUUAUGGGAUACAUAUCUUGCCGAAGGUGAUGCACUGCCAGAUUUUCUUGUGUAUAUAGCUGCAAGCUUUCUGCUCACAUGGUCAGAUAAUCUGCUGAAGCUGGACUUCCAAGAGAUGGUUAUGUUCCUUCAGCACCUUCCCACACAUAACUGGAGUCAUUCAG
rnacentral:misc_RNA from 1 species